CGCGGUGCUGCGGGCCGUGGCCGGGUUGGAGGGCCCUCUGGCACGGUGGGGCAUCCGCGCUGAGCGGUCCCUAAGCCGGGUUGGCGAGCGAGUGGCUGAGCGAGCGAGCUAGGCGGCGUGCGGCGCCGUUGAGGGCGCUGCCCCGCGCGCUCCCAGGCCGCCCCGGGUUAGGAGCAGCGCCCGGAGCCGGAGAGCUGGAGCACACGGAGGCGCUGCCGUCGCUCUAGCUCAUCGCGGCGCCUGGAGGCGUAGGUUGGCGCCUGGGGUCGGGGACUGAGGCUUGGGCACUGCCUGUCGGAGCGGAGAUCUGGGUUUGCCUCCUGCCCCCGCUCAGGACCCUGACGCGGGUGAGGCUGCCCCGGGAGCAUGAGCGGGCAGCGCGUGGACGUCAAGGUGGUGAUGCUGGGCAAGGAGUACGUGGGCAAGACCAGCCUGGUGGAGCGAUACGUGCACGACCGCUUCCUGGUGGGGCCCUAUCAGAACACCAUUGGGGCCGCCUUCGUGGCCAAGGUGAUGUCCGUCGGAGACCGGACGGUGACUUUGGGUAUUUGGGACACAGCAGGAUCUGAGCGCUAUGAGGCCAUGAGCCGAAUCUACUAUCGGGGCGCCAAGGCUGCCAUCGUCUGCUAUGACCUGACAGACAGCAGCAGCUUUGAACGGGCAAAGUUCUGGGUGAAGGAACUGCGCAACCUAGAGGAGGGCUGUCAGAUCUACUUGUGUGGCACCAAGAGUGACCUGCUGGAGGAGGACAGGCGGCGUCGACGUGUGGACUUCCACGACGUCCAGGACUAUGCAGACAAUAUCAAAGCUCAGCUCUUUGAAACUUCCAGCAAGACAGGCCAGAGUGUGGACGAGCUCUUCCAGAAAGUGGCAGAGGACUAUGUCAGUGUGGCCGCCUUCCAGGUGAUGACAGAGGACAAGGGCGUGGACCUGGGCCAGAAGGCAAACCCCUACUUCUACAGCUGUUGUCAUCACUGAGUCACCACUCACCUGGCCUGGGGGAAUUAAAGGAAUUCCCCCAGAGAGGCUGGACGUACCUCUUACCUGGGUUUGGGUGACUAAACAUCUGAGCUACCCCUGGUCCCCAUAGCAGCAGACGUGGCACCUGCCUGUGCUGGCCCGUGGAACGGAGGCAGCAUUGGGCUGACUGAUGGGCACAAGGAGGUUUACACUACAGCAACCUCUGGCCCUGCUGCACUAGCCCUAAGAAGCUCGGCAGAGAGCUAACUGGCCACAGCCAAUCGAGGUCUCAUGCAGCAGCUACCUAGCUCUAAGUGGUCCAGAAAGUCUAACACAUGGGAACAGCUCCAACAUCCUUCAGCAGGAAAAGGAGCUUGUGGCAGCUCCUUCCUUGCCAUGAUCUCAAAGAGGGGAAGCUGCCAGGACCAGAUUUCCUUCCUGCCACUCUGUCCUCACAAGGCAACCUGGGAGUCCAGCUCCAGUGAGUAGACACUGCCAAGCCUGGGAAAGGACCGCUGAUGCACUUCAUGCCCCGACUGCAGUGUGGGGUGGAGGAUGUAAAUAAUAAAAUAAUUAUUUUCAUCAAUGCUAA